GACGAACGCUGGCGGCGUGCCUAAUACAUGCAAGUUGAGCGCUGAAGGUUGGUACUUGUACCAACUGGAUGAGCAGCGAACGGGUGAGUAACGCGUGGGGAAUCUGCCUUUGAGCGGGGGACAACAUUUGGAAACGAAUGCUAAUACCGCAUAAAAACUUUAAACACAAGUUUUAAGUUUGAAAGAUGCAAUUGCAUCACUCAAAGAUGAUCCCGCGUUGUAUUAGCUAGUUGGUGAGGUAAAGGCUCACCAAGGCGAUGAUACAUAGCCGACCUGAGGGGGUGAUCGGCCACAUUGGGACUGAGACACGGCCCAAACUCCUACGGGAGGCAGCAGUAGGGAAUCUUCGGCAAUAGACGAAAGUCUGACCGAGCAACGCCGCGUGAGUGAAGAAGGUUUUCGGAUCGUAAAACUCUGUUGGUAGAGAAGAACGUUGGUGAGAGUGGAAAGCUCAUCAAGUGACGGUAACUACCCAGAAAGGGACGGCUAACUACGUG
rnacentral:rRNA from 1 species